AUUGAACGCUGGCGGCAGGCCUAACACAUGCAAGUCGAACGUUUGGCGGACGGGUUAGUAAUGUCUGGUAAACUGCCCGAUGGAGGGGGAUAACUACUGGAAACGGUAGCUAAUACCGCAUACCAUCGGAUGAGCCCAGAUGGGAUUGGCUAGUAGGUGGGGUAACGGCUAAACUACGCGACGAGCCCUAGCUGGUCUGAGAGGAUGACCAGUCACACUGGAACUGAGACACGGUCCAGACUCCUACGGGAGGCAGCAGGGGGGAAUAUUGCAGAAGGGGCGAAAGCCUGAUGCAGCCAUGCCGCGUGUAUGAAGAAGGCCUUCGGGUUGUAAAGUACUUUCAGCGAGGAGGCGUUACUCGCAGAAGAAGCACCGGCUAACUCCGUGCCAGCCGCCGCGGUAAUAC
rnacentral:rRNA from 1 species